AACGAACGCUGGCGGCAUGCCUAACACAUGCAAGUCGAACGAGACCUUCGGGUCUAGUGGCGCACGGGUGCGUAACGCGUGGGAACCUGCCCUUAGGUUCGGAAUAACUCCCCGAAAGGGGUGCUAAUACCGGAUAAUGUCUUCGGACCAAAGAUUUAUCGCCGUUGGAUGGGCCCGCGUUGGAUUAGCUAGUUGGUAGGGUAAAAGCCUACCAAGGCGACGAUGCAUAGCUGGUUUGGGAGGAUGAUCCGCCACACUGGGACUGAGACACGGCCCAGACUCCUACGGGGGGGAGCAGUGGGGAGUAGUGGGCAAGGGGGGAAAGCCUGAUACAGCAAUGCCGCGUGAGUGAUGAAGGGCUUAGGGUUGUAAAGCUCCUUUUCCCGGGAUGAUAAUGACAGUAACGGGAGAAUAAGCUCCGGCUAACUCCGUG
rnacentral:rRNA from 1 species